AUUGAACGCUGGCGGCAGGCCUAACACAUGCAAGUCGAGCGGAUGAAGGGAGCUUGCUCCUGUAUUCAGCGGCGGACGGGUGAGUAAUGCCUAGGAAUCUGCCUGGUAGUGGGGGAUAACGUCCGGAAACGGGCGCUAAUACCGCAUACGUCCAGAGGGAGAAAGUGGGGGUUCUUCGGACCUCACGCUAUCAGAUGAGCCUAGGUCGGAUUAGCUAGUUGGUGGGGUAAAGGCCUACCAAGGCGACGAUCCGUAACUGGUCUGAGAGGAUGAUCAGUCACACUGGAACUGAGACACGGUCCAGACUCCUACGGGAGGCAGCAGUGGGGAAUAUUGGACAAUGGGCGAAAGCCUGAUCCAGCCAUGCCGCGUGUGUGAAGAAGGUCUUCGGAUUGUAAAGCACUUUAAGUUGGGAAGAAGGGCAGUAAGUUAAUACCUGGCUGUUUUGACGUUACCAACAGAAUAAGCACCGGCUAACUUCGUG
rnacentral:rRNA from 1 species